UGAGAGGAAAGACCAAGAGAAUUGCAGAGACUCUCUGACUCAGUAUACUUGCAUUGUGAAGAUGCUGACCCAAACCUGCCUAGCUCAAGGUUUUCUUCAGUCAACAAUGGAUAUUCUCACAGAUUUUCUGUUGCUAUCUGCAGAACAAUCCCAUCUAAUACUAUCCCUACUAACCCAGCGUAUAAGCCCUGCUGUCUAUGCCUCCAGCUAUUCUGUUGGCUCUGCUCACCGUGUACUGAUGUUCCCUCUGGUGAAAACUUUUUAGGAUGUUCCCUCCUAACAACCACUCCUGAGAAGCCUGAUCUGAAAAACAUUGAAGGCGAUGAUCUUAUAGAAUGGCAGAGGAAAAAAGAAACACAAAAGCAGCAGCUCUGGGACUCACUCUUCUCUAGACAAUUGGCUUCUUGCUGGGAGCCUCAUGUUUCUAUAUCUGAGUUUGAUGAUAAAGCCCUAGGGAUUUCUUUCAGUCUGUUCUUCACUGAAACCACUGUAAAAUCAUAGUAAAAAAUAAGGAUAAUGAAAAUAA